GUUGGUGAGGUAACGGCUCACCAAGGCUACGAUGGUUAGGGGGUCUGAGAGGAUGAUCCCCCACACUGGUACUGAGACACGGACCAGACUCCUACGGGAGGCAGCAGUGAGGAAUAUUGGGCAAUGGGCGCAAGCCUGACCCAGCCAUGCCGCGUGAAGGAUGAAUGCCCUAUGGGUUGUAAACUUCUUUUGUACGGGACGAAUCUCUCGAACGUGUUCGGGACUGACUGUACCGUACGAAUAAGCAUCGGCUAACUCCGUGCCAGCAGCCGCGGUAAUACGGAGGAUGCAAGCGUUAUCCGGAUUCAUUGGGUUUAAAGGGUGCGUAGGCGGAAGAAUAAGUCAGUGGUGAAAGCCUGCGGCUUAACCGUAGAAUUGCCAUUGAUACUGUUUUUCUUGAGUAUAGUUGAAGUGGGCGGAAUGUGUAAUGUAGCGGUGAAAUGCUUAGAUAUUACACAGAACACCAAUUGCGAAGGCAGCUCACUAAGCUGUUACUGACGCUGAGGCACGAAAGCGUGGGGAGCAAACAGGAUUAGAUACCCUGGUAGUCCACGCUGUAAACGAUGAUCACUCGUUGUUGGCGAUACACCGUCAGCGACUGAGCGAAAGCAAUAAGUGAUCCACCUGGGGAGUACGGUCGCAAGACUGAAACUCAAAGGAAUUGACGGGGGCCCGCACAAGCGGAGGAACAUGUGGUUUAAUUCGAUGAUACGCGAGGAACCUUACCUGGGCUUGAAAGGGAACGACCUCCCGGGAAACCGGGAUUCUCUUCGGAGCGGUCUCCUAGUGCUGCAUGGUUGUCGU
rnacentral:rRNA from 1 species